GUAGUCUCUGUGGGACCGACUCUCGGUGGUCGGGAAAUGAGACUUUCGUGGACGUCUGUUCCCAUUGUAGGUUGGAAGGAAAUACAGCAGUUAACCACCUGAAAUCUCAGUAGACAAGAGGAGAAUGCCAUAAAGUUUUACAGCUGUGGGACAGAAGAUUGCAAAAUAUGGAAAACCUGAGACCUGGAAAGUCCCAAAAUAACAGGUCCAGCCAGUGGCCAAGCCAGGAUGGAGCCCCAGUUCUACUGUGCACUGGAUGGCACCCUUUACAGUUUGCCAAGCUGUUCCUACUGGCCAAGAUUGCCAGCUACAUUGUAGGGUAUGCACAUAUUAUCUACACACUGAAUAAGAAGAGAAUAAAUAACAUCUCUGAAAAAAAA